GGAAUGCGACCGAGCUCGCCGACGGCGAAUCCUGGCUGCUGUGGCUUUUAGCGCUGUGUGAAAACGCGUUCUAAACCACGAGAAGUCUCAAAAUAGCGGGAUCUCAAAGGCAGGAAGAGAAGGAUGAUCCGGUAGAAUCAGAGACGGGCCGCUCGUUUAGUUGAGAAAGGCAGAGGAAGUUCACCGGCGAAGGAAUCCUUAGAGUUGGAAGGGACCCUUAAAGCCCAUCUGGUCCAACUCCCCUGCAGCGAACAAGGACACCCACAGCUCCAUCAGGUACUCAGGGCCUGUCCAACCUGACCUUGUGCACCUCCAGGAAUGGGGCACCAGCACCUCCCUGGGCAACCUGUGCCAGUCCCUCACCACCCACACUGUAAAAGACUUUUUCCUUACAUCCAACCUAAAUCUACCCUCUUUAGGCUUAAAACCAUCUCCCCUUGUUGUGUCACAACAGACCAUGCUGAAGAGCCUGUCCCCUUCUUUCCUGCAGCUAAUGAAGUGUUCCAGAUGUUCCAGAUGGAAUCAUUUCAGCCCUUUAUAUAAUGUCAUAUCAGGAGAGUAAUGGAUGACGAGAAUUUAAGGUCGUUGUAGUUUUUACGGGGUUAUUAUUUUAAAUGUCCCUUAGCUUUAAGCUAUUUCCAUCUUACUAGAUGUGCAUUAGUUGAGGAACCUGUUGAAUCUGAUUAGCAUUGCAAGUAUGUAAUAAGCUUUUGUGCUUUUUCUUGUAUUUCAGUAUUUUUCCCCUGCAUUAUUCGUUUAUAUGAGGGCUCAGGGGAAGUUUUCUUCUGUGUUUUAUGCUUGGUUUGCUUUACUCUCAUAGAAAUUUUAGCAAGAUGUGUAUGACGUUUGGUUGCACAAAUAAAUUUUUUUUUUUUCCUGA